rnacentral:ncRNA from 1 species
AAAACCUGAAUGGUGUAAAUGUAGGUACACUAGAACCUAAUCCUCCGACAUGCUGACCAUUUCUAUUAAUAGUUGGUAUGAAGCUCGGUGAAGUCACAUAAAAAUCGACCUGAGAUGGUAGUUAGUAAUGUGGGGUGCUAUAAA